GAAAACAGCCUAAUUAGAAGCAAAUGCUCAGGGGAAAAUUUACCUUCAUGGUCACGGAGCCGUCCAGUUUCUCCAGCUCACCGAGCAAUGCUGACAGCAAGGAGGACUUCCCAGCACCCACCUGGCCAACUACAGCAAGCAAAGAGCCUUGGGGCACGAAUUCAACAUUAAAUAUGAAGUGAACUCAGAAGCCUCUGGACAUUCCACACUGGCCCUACAGAGCUGAGAGAUGACUAAGACAAAAUGUACCUGAAACUGACUCCUCUUCUUGGUGAUCACGAAAUUCAGAGGCAGAAGAAAAAGGAAUACAGCAAUUGCAGUCAAGGCAGAUGGCCCUAGAAGCUGCCAGGCGACAAUUUCUUCAGAGGAGUCCUCUCUCCUCACUGGCCACAAGUCAUCCACCCCCAAGGACUGCUGAGAGCCUUUCCAGAGAAGCCUGGAGAACACAUAGACUGCAAUCAGAGAACCACCAGUAUGUGAUUUUGGAAAGAAAAGAGCUUCUGGCUUCUGGACAGUGAUUCUGAUGGGAGAGAAAACGUGUGAUAUUUAUAUACAGAAAAGUGCACGUGUCAGAUGAAUAUAAUUCCCUUCUGUGCUCCCCCAGGAAAAGCAAUCAAAGACAUACCCCCACCCCUCAAUUCACUGACCCAGACAGAGCAAGUGUAUUGUGGAGGAUCAAUGGGAUUGGGAGAUUUUGGAGAAUUUGACUUCGAAUAACUUCUCAGAUAGAAGAAAAAAAGAACAUAAUUCUUCAUACCCAGAGACGUUUAUUUUCUUAAGCACAGAAAUUUGUCAUACCCAUACCACCAAGUGCUGCUGCACAGGAGAGCAGCAACAGGGGAAGCAAUAGGAGCCCUGUCUGCUGGUUUCAAUGACAAGAAACAUGAGUAUGGAUAAAAGGGCAUGUUGAAUUUUGAAAGUAAACAUCACAACUGCAGCCACGAAUGAGAGCAGCCAAUAAAUCAACAGGACCCCUGAAGACUGGAUGCCCAUCAUUCUUUCUGCCUGGGUAAGGAACAUGGCAAGGAUCUGUGAGGAGGUACAAAUUUGUCCACAUAAAUACCUGGUAAUGGAAUGCCAAACAUUGUUAUCAAAAUAAUGAGUACCACAGAAAAAAGAUCAGUUUCUUGUCCAAACACUUCAAGAUGUUCAGAGCUGUAGUAGCUGUAGUAUUGUUCCUAAAAGGCUAAAACUGAACAGCAUUAUGUGCAAUUUUGCACUCAAGAAUGUCUCUGGAGAAAGGGCAAAUAAUAAAACUACAAGUGGGCCAACAGGCAAGGUCUGCUCUGCCCACAGGGCCCUGUAUUGUAGGUGUAGCUCCAGUGGUCUGCCCCGACUCCAAAGCCAUGGCUUGUGGGCCUUCUAUUCCCCAUCAGCCAAAUUUGUGCUCAGAGAUACUGAGAAACGUGGGAAAUACAAGAUCUGUCCCCAGAGGGCUUAGCUUGGCCACGUGCAGACAGACAAGGGAGGAAUUACCGUUGUGAUUCCCAGCACAGCAGGGCUGAUGAAGAACUCUGGAGCCCGUGGGAUUCCUUGGCUUAUCUCCCACAGCAUGAAGAAAACAUUAGUAAAACACAGUAUCACCAGAAUGCAUCCAAGGACCAUUUUGGUUUUGAAGAUGCGGGACAUCCUGAUAUAGCCCCUGUUCCUGUGUCGAAGGUACAGGUAGUAGAAAGGAAAACAGAUCCAAAGAUAGGCACAAGGGAUCCAGGUGAUGACUGAGCUCUCAAAGCACCAGGUAAAUCCUGAGGUGUUUGAAUGCCAUGUCUGAUUCCAGUCCUGUCACAGAAAUAACACAGAAGUGAAACAGUAAAGCAAAUGUACACAGAAUUUCACAGCUAAUGCAGGUUCCUAAUGCUACAGCUGAGAUCUACUACGUUAGUGGAA